GUUCAAUUCAUCAUUCUAUCAUCUGUCUUGCUUUUCUUUCUCUUAGCUCUUAGCCCUCUCUCCUUUCUCAGUAUUGCAAAGUUUUCAUCCCUGUCUUUAAACCAGAUCCUUCAAAAUCCCCAAAUUCUUGCAGCAAAUAUCGUUUCCAUUUGAUAUUCUCCUCUUCUUUUUCUAUACCCUUAGAAACCCACCUCUCUUUUUUCGCUCCGCCUUUUUCUUUUCAGUUUCUCAAGGAAAUGCAGUUUCAUUAUUCUUGAACCCUCAUUUCAUUCACUGAUUAAUGGGUAUUGCUUAGAUUUCUCAGUGACCUCUUCCCUCGAUUCUACUUGUUAGAUACUAGUAGCCAGGUUGUAUUACACGGGUCUUUUUCAUAUUUUGGCUAUUGAUGAGCUUGAUUGUUAUGUGACAUGUUUAAUAAAAUUGAUGGAUCUGCAAGUUGCUGUGUUUUUCGAUAAGGGAACAGUUUUGGGUCGCUGUGGUUGGUGAAUUUAAUUGUAAAGGAGUAAGGGGUAUUAGUAUUUGAUU
rnacentral:misc_RNA from 1 species